AUCCGGACCUGGCGCUUUCUCCGGAUGCAUCAUAAAUAAAGCUUGUCUCACUUCUUCCUCUGUUGCUAACCGCAAUAGCCUUUGAUUCAUCUGAGGAGAAAUUGAUGGUCCUAUCUCCUCCAGGAAACUAUCAAACUCCGUAGGAUUAGUGGAAUUAAAUAAACCAUCAAAAUAAUCUACAGCCACCUUCUCAACUCCGUUAUCAUCUGUGAUCCAAUUACCCGCAUCAUCAUGGAGGCCCACU
rnacentral:lncRNA from 1 species